rnacentral:rRNA from 1 species
UUAUGUAUAACCAGCUGAAUGUACAGUAAGAAUAAGGAUCGGCUAACUCCGUGCCAGCAGCCGCGGUAAUACGGAGGAUCCGAGCGUUAUCCGGAUUUAUUGGGUUUAAAGGGUGCGUAGGCGGCCUAUUAAGUCAGGGGUGAAAGACGGUAGCUUAACUAUCGCAGUGCCUUUGAUACUGAUAGGCUUGAAUGUACUUGAGGUAGGCGGAAUGUGACAAGUAGCGGUGAAAUGCAUAGAUAUGUCACAGAACACCAAUUGCGAAGGCAGCUUACUAAAGUAUGAUUGACGCUGAGGCACGAAAGCGUGGGGAUCAAACAGGAUUAGAUACCCUGGUAGUCCACGCCCUAAACGAUGAACACUCGAUGUUGGCGAUAUACGGUCAGCGUCUAAGCGAAAGCGUUAAGUGUUCCACCUGGGGAGUACGCCCGCAAGGGUGAAACUCAAAGGAAUUGACGGGGGCCCGCACAAGCGGAGGAGCAUGUGGUUUAAUUCGAUGAUACGCGAGGAACCUUACCCGGGCUUGAAAGUUAGUGA